UUAAAAAUAUUUAAUCUGUACAUUUCCGAAUCACACUUUUAUAUAUACAUUUAUUACAAAAAGAAAAAAAUUAGCUACACGAAUAUCCACUUUCUUUACUCACUGCACAAAAAUUUAGUUUGAUCUUUCUUAACUAACGAAUCGUGUUUCGUAUUUCAUUAUUAAUUCCAACGCGAUAAUAAAAAUAGCAAUGUAAAAACUAUAAUUGCUUAAGAGUCUGGUUAAGUAAUAUGAAUGAUAUGUUCGAGAAAUAUAUCGUUAAACGUUAUAAUAAUGCUAAUGGACGAAUGACACGCGUGUGACAUCAUUGGAAAUUAAAUAUUGAGUCACUUUAUGCAUCGUACCGGUGCAUACGUAUCUAUCAAUUCUUAAACGUUUUCAAUGUUCAGUUACUACAGACUCUGUAACUGUGUAUGGAUUGCGAUUAAAACACGAGUUAUUAAGUCAUCGAUUGCCAGAAAACUACAUAGACAGUCUGUCGGUUGGACAGCUUAGUGAUAACAUGGAUGUACGACUGGAGGAACGAUACUUAAAAAUAAAUAAAAUAUAUUCAAUCAUCGUUGGCAUGUGGCCGAAUCAAAAACGCAAAACGAUCCCCCGUAUUUUUGUAGAGUUAAUAGCGAUUUUGGCGCAUCUUACACAGGGAGGCAAUAUGGUAUUAUUCUUUAGUCUAACUCUUGCAAUGGAUCAAAUUCCAUUUCUGAUAGCGGCUAUUCUUCUAAUGAUAAAAUACAACAAUUUUAUUAUUAAUGAGCAAAAGUUCAAGGAAUUAUUCGUGAGUAUUUUAAAUGAUUGGCAAAAGAAGAAAACGCACGAAGAGGAGAUGAUCUUGGAAAAAUACGCUGACAAAAGUUUAUUCUUUAUAUUAAUAUACGUAGUAAACGCUUACUUUUGCACCGUCCUCUUCUUGAUCCUUCCCUUGACGCCUAUUUUAUUGGAUAUAUUCAUACCUUUGAACGAGUCACGGCCGAGGGUUCAGAUGUAUCCAGCGUAUUACUACAUCGAGAAUGAGGCCGAUUAUUAUUAUCCCAUUUUGAUAUUCUCGAUCGUAUCGUUGCUGACGGCGAUGUGCGUGUACAUUGCAACGGACACGACACUGGUCUAUGUCGUGCAACACGCUUGCGGAUUGCUAACCCUCGCAGGUUACCGCUUCAGGAAUAGUUUGAACGAUUUGUACUCGAUGAGGAAAGAUUCGAAAAUGGAUGAAAAAAUAUACAGAAGAAUGUGCUACGCCAUUAAAACUCACAAACGAGCGCUUGCAUAUCUCACCAAAAUCGAGGAUUUUUACUCUAUGAAUAUCUUCGCGCAAGUGGGUGCAUCAAUUUUGUGUCUUACUGUCACGUUGAUGAAGAUAGCUACAAUAAAAUGGUCCAUGGAAACUAAUCAGUAUUACGGAUUCGUGAUUGCUCAAGUGGUGCACAUUUUCUUCCUCACAGCUCAAGGCCAAUUCGUCAUUGAUUCACAUGACAAUGUUUAUCGGGAUAUGUAUGAGCCAUAUUGGUACAAUGUGCAAUAUAAAAUUCAAGCAAUGUUCGUUCUGAUUCUGCGAAGAAAUUUGAAUCCUCCUCUGUUAACAGCCGGUGGAUUAAUGCAACUAAACUUGAACACCUUUGCACAGGUUGUGAAAACGAGUGUCUCGUAUUUUACCGUAUUAAAAUCUGUCUGAAUGCUAUUAAUUAUUCAAAAGAACAGUUGCCAAGUAUAAUGUAUUUUAACGAUAAUGCAGAGAUAUAGUACCAGAUACCACGUGAAGAGGGCAAUAUGCAUGUGAUUCUGCAAAUUAAUUUCAAUAUAUUAUAAACAAUAUGGUAAUCUAUAUAUUUAUUUACACUUUAUUUAUGUUUUUU